rnacentral:sRNA from 1 species
CAUGGGUUAGUCGAUCCU